UCCUGCCGGAGGUCACUGCUAUUGGGAUCGGCUAGCCAUGCAAGCGGAGGGCGCGGUCGAAAGAUCGUGGCCCCGCACACUGCUCAGUAACACGUAGUCAACCUACCCUUGGGACGGGGACAACCUCGGGAAACUGAGGCUAAUACCCGAUAGGUGAGGGACGCUGGGAUGCCUCCUCGCCCAAAGCUCCGGCGCCCAAGGAUGGGACUGCGGUCUAUCAGGCUGUUGGUGGUGUAACGGACCACCAAACCUACGACGGGUACGGGCGAUGGGAGUCGGAGCCCGGAGAUGGGGACUGAGACAAGGCCCCAGGCCCUACGGGGCGCAGCAGGCGCGAAAACUCCGCAAUGCGCGCAAGCGUGACGGGGGGAUCCCAAGUGCCGUUGGUCUUUCGAUCGACGGUUUUUAGGAAGUCUAAGAAGCUUCCAGAAUAAGGGCUGGGCAAGACUGGUGCCAGCCGCCGCGGUAACACCAGCAGCCCAAGUGGUGGCCACGAUUAUUGGGCCUAAAGCGCUCGUAGCCGGAUCAGCAAGUCCCUUGUGAAAUCGGGCCGCCUAACGGUUCGGCGUGCAAGGGAUACUGUUGGUCUUGAGGCCGGGAGAGGUCGGAGGUACUCCUGGGGUAGCGGUGAAAUGCUCUAAUCCUAGGGGGACCACCAGUGGCGAAGGCGUCCGACCAGAACGGACCUGACGGUGAGGGGCGAAGGCUAGGGGAGCGAACGGGAUUAGAUACCCCGGUAGUCCUAGCUGUAAAGCAUGCGGGCCAGGUGUCUAGCGCUCCUUGAGGGCACUAGGUGCCGGAGGGAAGCCGUUAAGCCCGCCGCCUGGGAAGUACGGCCGCAAGGCUGAAACUUAAAGAAAUUGGCGGGGGAGCACCACAAGAGGUGGGACCUGCGGUUCAAUUGGAAUCAACGCCGGU
rnacentral:rRNA from 1 species